rnacentral:rRNA from 1 species
UACGUAGGGUGCAAGCGUUAAUCGGAAUUACUGGGCGUAAGCGUGCGCAGGCGGCUAUGCAAGACAGAUGUGAAAUCCCCGGGCUUAACCUGGGAAUGGCGUUUGAAACUACGGAGCUGGAGUGUGGCCAGAGGGAGGUAGAAUUCCACGUGUAGCGGUGAAAUGCGUAGAUAUGUGGAGGAAUACCGAUGGCGAAGGCAGCCUCCUGG